rnacentral:rRNA from 1 species
CGAACGGCUGGCGGCGUGCCUAACACAUGCAAGUCGAGCGGAGUCGAUCGACGGAAGCCUUCGGGCGGAAGAUGGUUGACUUAGCGGCGGAUGGGUGAGUAACGCGUGGGCAACCUGCCUCGAAGACCGGGAUAACAGCCCGAAAGGGCUGCUAAUACCGGAUGUGGUCAAGGAUCCGCAUGGAUUUUGAUUAAGGGAAACCCGUUUCGAGAUGGGCCCGCGUCCUAUCAGCUAGUUGGUGAGGUAAAAGCUCACCAAGGCGACGACGGGUAGCCGGCCUGAGAGGGUGACCGGCCACACUGGAACUGAGACACGGUCCAGACUCCUACGGGGGGCAGCAGUGGGGAAUCUUCCACAAUGGGCGAAAGCCUGAUGGAGCGACGCCGCGUGAGCGAAGAAGGCCUUCGGGUUGUAAAGCUCUGUCUGGAGGGACGAAGGAAGUGACGGUACCUCCGGAGGAAGCCACGGCUAACUACGUG